rnacentral:rRNA from 1 species
GACGAACGCUGGCGGCGUGCUUAACACAUGCAAGUCGAACGGAAAGGCCCUGCUUUUGUGGGGUGCUCGAGUGGCGAACGGGUGAGUAACACGUGAGUAACCUGCCCUUGACUUUGGGAUAACUUCAGGAAACUGGGGCUAAUACCGGAUAGGAGCUCCUGCUGCAUGGUGGGGGUUGGAAAGUUUCGGCGGUUGGGGAUGGACUCGCGGCUUAUCAGCUUGUUGGUGGGGUAGUGGCUUACCAAGGCUUUGACGGGUAGCCGGCCUGAGAGGGUGACCGGCCAAAUGGGAAUGAGGAACGGGCCAAGCCACCAAGGGGGGGCAGGGGGGGGAGAAUUUACAAGAGGGGCGGAGGCCGGGAGAGGCACCCCCGCGGGGGGAAAACCGGCCUUGGGGUGAGAAACCGUUUUCGCGUGUAACGACGGGUGAGUAAGGGAAAUGGGAAAGAAAGCACCGGCUACCUAGGG